AUUGAACGCUGGCGGCAUGCUUUACACAUGCAAGUCGAACGGUAACAGGCCGCAAGGUGCUGACGAGUGGCGAACGGGUGCGUAAUGCAUCGGAACGUGCCCAGUCGUGGGGGAUAACUACUCGAAAGAGUAGCUAAUACCGCAUACGAUCUAUGGAUGAAAGCGGGGGGCCGUAAGGCCUCGCGCGAUUGGAGCGGCCGAUGUCAGAUUAGGUAGUUGGUGGGGUAAAGGCUCACCAAGCCAACGAUCUGUAGCUGGCCUGAGAGGACGACCAGCCACACUGGGACUGAGACACGGCCCAGACUCCUACGGGAGGCAGCAGUGGGGAAUUUUGGACAAUGGGCGCAAGCCUGAUCCAGCAAUGCCGCGUGCAGGAAGAAGGCCUUCGGGUUGUAAACUGCUUUUGUACGGAACGAAACGGCUCUGGUUAAUACCCGGGGCUAAUGACGGUACCGUAAGAAUAAGCACCGGCUAACUACGUG
rnacentral:rRNA from 1 species